CGACGAUCGCCAUUAAUCCUGGAUUACGUAGCUCUUGCUCUUGCCUCCGUAGUCGAAGGGGAACCUCGGACUCCAAGCUCCCUCUGUUUUCAGUUUUCCUUUAUGAGGGGACUCGAACGAUCAUAAAAGUAAAAUUAAGAACGAAGGCUUACCUGAUUGUUACCACUACAUCGGCCGAAUGAGCCUUUUUGGGCGGUGCCGUGUACCCAGGUUCGAAUUUCUGUAAAAUUCAAAAUUUUCAUUCCGUAAUAGAAAAUUUGCGUGAACCCGGAUGGAAAAAGAGCUCAAAAGACUAAAUUUUUAUAAUGGAAAAUAAAUUUCAAAAUCAGAUGUCCAUGUUUGCGAAACUAUGAUCCUGGGAAAAAAAACAUACGCGACAUGAAGAUUAACACUAAAAUUGCUGACCAAUGAAUUGAUCUUGAUGUGAAAACAACAGAAAAAACAAGAAUCGAAUGAAACACCCCCGCUUUUUUUUUUUUUUUUGCUCUGUUUAUCUGACCAAUGAAUUGAUCUUGAUGCUAACCUGGAGACAAAUUUCACAAGUGGUGUCACCCUUCUCGUUGCACCAUCUCUGUAUGCACUCUCUGUGUGCAAACUGAAAAGAACCAACCGAACUAACGAUCAUGAAUUCGAACUUAGAGAAAGUAAUAAAGGAAGAAAGAAGAAAACAGAGGAGGGAAAAGGCACCCCAAUAAGAAGUUAGGAACACAUCCUCCACCUUUACAGUUCCAGAACAAGCACAAGGAGCUUCCAAUCGCUGAGUCCUCACUUCUUCUUCAUGGCAGAUUCUACACUGUGGAAUUGAAGAAAACUUGGUCGAACCCUCCACAGACAAUAUCACCUCAUCUUCCAUUUCGGUCUCUGUAUCUCUGUCUCUCUCUCUCGCUUUGUGGAUUCUGAAGUCGGGAUUCUGGAGAGUGGAUCUCAAGUUAAAUAACACUUAGAAAGCAAAACCUUUUAUAUUAUCAAUAAAUAGAACCGAAAAACAUCAGAACUACGGGAGAAGUGGGAGACCGGUUCUUAAAAGACAAGACCCCAACCCCUACUAUUACGAGGGGAAAGUCAAGAAGCCUCUCUCUAAUAAUCGUUGGGUCCUGUAAUUUACCGAAGGGUAUUUUCGUCCAAGUAAAUAAAGUUGUAGUUCACGAGACAUGUAAUUUUCUGUUCUUAAUGGACUGGUUAGUUAACAUUAACCAUAGUUUUAAAAUAUAAUAUAUUAUUAACUUUGUUGGAAACAGAACAGGUCUAAGUUGUUCUAGACUCUAGAGGACCUCUCUUGUUUUAUUUGCAAGCUUCUUGUAUUUGAACUUUGAAAUUUGAACUGGGUUAUGAUAUUUAGAUGAUCUUAAGCUGCUUCUCUUUCUUUAUAAUUUAAUAUUGUGGAGUUUGCUUUGCUUUUCUUUUUAUUCA